rnacentral:rRNA from 1 species
GGGUUGUGAGGUUAAGCGACUAAGCGUACACGGUGGAUGCCUAGGCAGUCAGAGGCGAUGAAGGGCGUGCUAAUCUGCGAAAAGCGUCGGUAAGCUGAUAUGAAGCGUUAUAACCGACGAUACCCGAAUGGGGAAACCCAGUGCAAUACGUUGCACUAUCGUUAGAUGAAUACAUAGUCUAACGAGGCGAACCGGGGGAACUGAAACAUCUAAGUACCCCGAGGAAAAGAAAUCAACCGAGAUUCCCCCAGUAGCGGCGAGCGAACGGGGAGGAGCCCAGAGUCUGAAUCAGUUUGUGUGUUAGUGGAAGCGUCUGGAAAGUCGCACGGUACAGGGUGAUAGUCCCGUACACCAAAAUGCACAGGCUGUGAACUCGAUGAGUAGGGCGGGACACGUGACAUCCUGUCUGAAUAUGGGGGACCAUCCUCCAAGGCUAAAUACUCCUGACUGACCGAUAGUGAACCAGUACCGUGAGGGAAAGGCGAAAAGAACCCCGGCGAGGGGAGUGAAAUAGAACCUGAAACCGUGUACGUACAAGCAGUGGGAGCACCUUCGUGGUGUGACUGCGUACCUUUUGUAUAAUGGGUCAGCGACUUAUAUUUUGUAGCAAGGUUAACCGAAUAGGGGAGCCGUAGGGAAACCGAGUCUUAACUGGGCGUCUAGUUGCAAGGUAUAGACCCGAAACCCGGUGAUCUAGCCAUGGGCAGGUUGAAGGUUGGGUAACACUAACUGGAGGACCGAACCGACUAAUGUUGAAAAAUUAGCGGAUGACUUGUGGCUGGGGGUGAAAGGCCAAUCAAACCGGGAGAUAGCUGGUUCUCCCCGAAAGCUAUUUAGGUAGCGCCUCGUGAACUCAUCUUCGGGGGUAGAGCACUGUUUCGGCUAGGGGGCCAUCCCGGCUUACCAAACCGAUGCAAACUCCGAAUACCGAAGAAUGUUAUCACGGGAGACACACGGCGGGUGCUAACGUCCGUCGUGAAGAGGGAAACAACCCAGACCGCCAGCUAAGGUCCCAAAGUCAUGGUUAAGUGGGAAACGAUGUGGGAAGGCACAGACAGCCAGGAUGUUGGCUUAGAAGCAGCCAUCAUUUAAAGAAAGCGUAAUAGCUCACUGGUCGAGUCGGCCUGCGCGGAAGAUGUAACGGGGCUAAACCAUGCACCGAAGCUGCGGCAGCGACGUUUAGGCGUUGUUGGGUAGGGGAGCGUUCUGUAAGCCGUUGAAGGUGACCUGUGAGGGUUGCUGGAGGUAUCAGAAGUGCGAAUGCUGACAUAAGUAACGAUAAUGCGGGUGAAAAACCCGCACGCCGGAAGACCAAGGGUUCCUGUCCAACGUUAAUCGGGGCAGGGUGAGUCGACCCCUAAGGCGAGGCUGAAAAGCGUAGUCGAUGGGAAACAGGUUAAUAUUCCUGUACUUGGUGUUACUGCGAAGGGGGACGGAGAAGGCUAGGCUGGCCGGGCGACGGUUGUCCCGGUUUAAGCGUGUAGGGGGAGUGACCAGGUAAAUCCGGUUGCUUAUCAACCCUGAGGCGUGAUGACGAUGCACUACGGUGCAGAAGCAGUUGAUGCCAUGCUUCCAGGAAAAGCCUCUAAGCAUCAGGUAACAUUAAAUCGUACCCCAAACCGACACAGGUGGUCAGGUAGAGAAUACUCAGGCGCUUGAGAGAACUCGGGUGAAGGAACUAGGCAAAAUGGUGCCGUAACUUCGGGAGAAGGCACGCUGGCGUUAGGUGAAAGGACUAGCUCCUGGAGCUGAAGCCAGUCGCAGAUACCAGCUGGCUGCAACUGUUUAAUAAAAACACAGCACUGUGCAAACACGAAAGUGGACGUAUACGGUGUGACGCCUGCCCGGUGCUGGAAGGUUAAUUGAUGGGGUCAGCCGCAAGGCGAAGCUCUUGAUCGAAGCCCCAGUAAACGGCGGCCGUAACUAUAACGGUCCUAAGGUAGCGAAAUUCCUUGUCGGGUAAGUUCCGACCUGCACGAAUGGCGUAAUGAUGGCCAGGCUGUCUCCACCCGAGACUCAGUGAAAUUGAACUCGCUGUGAAGAUGCAGUGUACCCGCGGCAAGACGGAAAGACCCCGUGAACCUUUACUAUAGCUUGACACUGAACAUUGAGCCUUGAUGUGUAGGAUAGGUGGGAGGCAUUGAAGUGUGGACGCCAGUCUGCAUGGAGCCAACCUUGAAAUACCACCCUUUAAUGUUUGAUGUUCUAACUCGGCCCCAUGAUCUGGGGUGAGGACAGUGUCUGGUGGGUAGUUUGACUGGGGCGGUCUCCUCCCAAAGAGUAACGGAGGAGCACGAAGGUUAGCUAAUCACGGUCGGACAUCGUGAGGUUAGUGCAAAGGCAUAAGCUAGCUUGACUGCGAGAGUGACGGCUCGAGCAGGUACGAAAGUAGGUCUUAGUGAUCCGGUGGUUCUGAAUGGAAGGGCCAUCGCUCAACGGAUAAAAGGUACUCCGGGGAUAACAGGCUGAUACCGCCCAAGAGUUCAUAUCGACGGCGGUGUUUGGCACCUCGAUGUCGGCUCAUCACAUCCUGGGGCUGAAGUAGGUCCCAAGGGUAUGGCUGUUCGCCAUUUAAAGUGGUACGCGAGCUGGGUUUAGAACGUCGUGAGACAGUUCGGUCCCUAUCUGCCGUGGGCGUUGGAAGAUUGAGAGGGGCUGCUCCUAGUACGAGAGGACCGGAGUGGACGAAUCACUGGUGUUCGGGUUGUCAUGCCAAUGGCAUUGCCCGGUAGCUAAAUUCGGAAGAGAUAACCGCUGAAAGCAUCUAAGCGGGAAACUUGCCUCGAGAUGAGUCUUCCCUGGGGCUUAAAGCCCCCUGAAGGAACGUUAAAGACUAUGACGUUGAUAGGCUGGGUGUGUAAGUGCAGCGAUGUAUUGAGCUAACCAGUACUAAUGAUCCGUGAGGCUUAACCUUACAACACCGAAGGUGUUU